UUAAACUGAUGAGAGAAUGCUCGGGUAAGAUGUGUCCCCUGUAUUUUUUUGUUGUAGCGGCCAGCCCGUUCUUGUUAUGGGACUAGAUGAUCCUUCUGAAGGAGACGGGCUCAGGCUUCCGGAGAGAUGACAGCGAUUGGGUCCUCGUCGUCGCCCACGAAGCCACCACUGUUUCUUCUAGGUGAGCGCUCGUCCAACUACCGUGGUAGGACCCGAUUGGGAGUUGAAGAGAUGGCUUGUUGCUUUCGCUGAUUAUGGUAUCAAUCAGAGAGAUCACCCGUCAAGGAGGGGUACUGCUACUUGCCUCCAAGCCGAGAAGUCGACAAAGGGGCAGUUUUCAUGGAUGGGUCGCCAGAGAGCAAACCGUCGCCCUAAACCAGCGGAAGGAUAGGGGAAGAUCGGGUAUGAACUCCCCUUCUCCAACUCGGGUUGCUCAGGACCUCAAAAUUUUCAACCGCCGGCGUCGGUGGUGGAGAACAGGUGCUCCAGUCAAUUCAUGCGUCCGUGGUGCCGACGAGGAUUACCCUCCUUGACAUCACUGCUCCGCACUUCUUCUCGAAACGACUCCGCCGCCGUGUCGUCGAUCAAGAUCUACAUCGAGCGGAGAUGGAGACAAGCCGGAGGGGGCAGCCGAGUGACGGCGCGGGUGAAAGGACGUGUGAAACCGCGGUCCUCCCUCUCCUGCCCUACCUGGCCCCAAAAUUCCUCCUUACUGCCGCGGCUAAAGUCCAAGGACGACGUCCCCAUCAACUCGGCACCGUUACAUGGUUGUGCCCCCCCUUGAAGAACCCUAAUUCCCUACCCUGGGGCGAUCUUGCCGGGGAACAGAUGUUAUCUAGUGGCGCCGAUAGAUGUGGUAGUAGCAGUCGUGGGUUUAAUGUGGCACAGUCUGAGUGCUGCCGGGAGGACGAUGUUGAGUCAUUCACUUGGAAAAUGAACCGGGAAAGCAGCGUAGUGCCCUAAAAACCCGGGGGAGGGGGCAGCUUCCCGCGGGCUCCAUUCCUGUAUCGCUUUUCUAGGGUUUAGGUUUUCCCUCUGCCCCCCUCUGCUUCAGAUCCCAUGCUUCUCCCAUCACACACGCGAGAGAGAGAGAGAGAAAGAGAGGGGUGGCUAGAGAGAGAAAGGAAAGUUUGAACGAGCAGCAUGGAUAGAGAGAGAGAGAGAGAGAGAGAGAGAGAGAGAGAGAGAGAGAG
rnacentral:lncRNA from 1 species